rfam:Mortierella elongata AG-77 unplaced genomic scaffold K457scaffold_172, whole genome shotgun sequence.
CCUACUUACUAUAAUAGGUACAACUGGCUUGUGGCAGCCAAGCGUUCAUAGCGACGUUGCUUUUUGAUCCUUCGAUGUCGGCUCUUUCUCUCCUCCUUCUGCCGAAUUCGGCGUAAGCGUUGUCGAUGCUUUGUUCGCUAUCACUAACGUGGCCUAAUCAGCUUUGUUUUUAAG